rnacentral:lncRNA from 1 species
GCGGCAGUAUCAUUAAAUGAAGUAGAAAAAUCACUUGCAUCAGAAAUCUUUUUUUUCUUCUUUGAAAAUGCAGAAUCACCUUGGUUUUUAGCUGGUUGCGGUUGUGUAGCUGAAAGAUCCAUGUCAUCCAAAGAAACAUCAGCUUCGGAUCCAUGGAAAUCGUUUCUUUCUUCAUGAGUAUUUGUAGCAGCUACAUCCUCAGCAUUUAUUUCUUCAAUAAUAUCAGCAGCUAUUUGAGCAUCUUUUCCAGUGGCUCGAUCUUUUGCGUAGAUGGAAGUAAGUUGGUCAUAAUAAGGGAAACUCCGAUGUCUGAAUUGAGCU